rnacentral:tRNA from 1 species
GCUUUCGUGGUGGAAUGGUAGACACGCUUGAUUCAAAAUCAAGUGCUUAGGCGUGGGGGUUCGAAUCCCUCUGGAAGCACCA